rnacentral:rRNA from 2 species
GAUGAACGCUGGCGGCGUGCCUAAUACAUGCAAGUCGAACGCUUCACUUCGGUGAAGAGUGGCGAACGGGUGAGUAAUACAUAAGUAACCUGGCAUCUACAGGGGGAUAACUGAUGGAAACGUCAGCUAAGACCGCAUAGGUGUAGAGAUCGCAUGAACUCUAUAUGAAAAGUGCUACGGGACUGGUAGAUGAUGGACUUAUGGCGCAUUAGCUUGUUGGUAGGGUAACGGCCUACCAAGGCGACGAUGCGUAGCCGACCUGAGAGGGUGACCGGCCACACUGGGACUGAGACACGGCCCAGACUCCUACGGGAGGCAGCAGUAGGGAAUUUUCGGCAAUGGGGGAAACCCUGACCGAGCAACGCCGCGUGAAGGAAGAAGUAAUUCGUUAUGUAAACUUCUGUCAUAGAGGAAGAACGGUGGAUAUAGGGAAUGAUAUCCAAGUGACGGUACUCUAUAAGAAAGCCACGGCUAACUACGUG